rnacentral:lncRNA from 1 species
CUCCACGUGGUGGCACCGUUCAGAAAGAUUGGAGAACCUUACAAUGUGGAACGUGACUACAGGAAGUGGAUCAGUAGAGCCUCGCCUUACAGGUCAUAGUCAAGCCUGUUUCUAACCCAAGUUCUUCCCCUCUCUGUCUCUGCUUCCUGCUCUGUGGAAAUUUGAGGAAUCCUAGACACAUUCUCCACAGUGUGAAGUCUGUUGUGCCUUCUCUGCUGUUGUAAAUGAAGACUGCUCAAACUGUAAGCCCAAAUAACUCUUUCUCUUCUCUUCAAAUUUUUUCACAGUAAUGUAAAAAGGUAGCUAUAUCAGGGCGAGGCCUCUCUCUUAAGGGUACUAGUCCUCUUCUCGUGGACUCAGUUUCCACAGCCUGACCAUCCCGGCCUCUACCUCUCAAUGCUAGAAUUGCAGGCAUGCACCACCACCUGGGUGUUUGCCCCAUGCUUUGGGAGGAACCAGGACUUCCUGCAUGCCUGGCAAGCACUCUGCCAACUGAGCUAACAUCUCCAGCUCUCAAAGCCUUACCUUCUAAAGCAGCGGUUCUCAACCUAUGGGACUGCGACCCUUUUGGGGGUCACACAACCCCUUCACAGGGGUCACCUAAGACCAUUGGAAAACACAGAGAUUUACAUUACAAUUCAUGACAGUACCAAAAUUACAGUUAUGAAAUAGCAACAAAAAUAAUUUUAUGAUUGGGAGUCACCACAAAACAAGGAACUAUCUUAAAGGGUCGCAGCAUCAGGAAGGCUGAGAACCACUGCUUCUAGAACAUUUUGGGAUCUGGGUUUUCAACAGAUGAGGCCAAAGGAGAAAGCAUGUUGAGACCCUAGGGUGGCUCUGUGGAUGCUGGUGACCUAAACUGCUUCUGUACUGACGCUGUCAACCCCUUGGAGUGAGGGGUGCUUCUAACUAGAAUCACCUGUGGCAAUUCCUAAUGUGGAAGAUCUGGAAAUGCCUGGUCAAACUAUGGAGUUACCCAAGCAUUGCAAACCAGCCAGUUACGGAAAGCACCUGCUGGAGGAGAACACAGCCCACAGAGCAGCACAUGGCUUCUCUCUAAAUGGCUGAUGCUUUCUAAUUUAUCAGGCUCUGGUGCUCUCACAGACCUUGGGCAGGGCACUUUAUUUCCCUGAACAUGAGGUCCCUCAUCAGGAAAUGUUGGGAGCCGCCCCCACAUUCGCCGUUACAAGAUGGCGCUGACAUCCUGUGUUCUAAGUGGUAAA